rnacentral:misc_RNA from 1 species
AGUAUAAAUGGAAAGAAAAAGAAGCACCAUAAACAUCAACAGCAGCAGGCUCCAGUGUUUAUGGCUGAACCCAUGAGAGCUUCAAAUUCUUUUGUUGGCACUGANNAGAGUAUAUAGCUCCGGAAAUUAUAACUGGGGCAGGCCAUACUAGUGCAGUGGACUGGUGGGCUCUUGGUGCUUCUUUUUCUUUCCAUUUAUACUUGUACGGACAUACACCAUUUAGGGGAAAGACAAGGCAAAACACAUUUGCCAAUAUUCUUCACAAAGAUCUUAAAUUUCCAAGAAGUGGGCAGGUUAGUUUUAAUGCAAAGCAGUUAAUGUAUCGGUUACUGCACAGAGAUCCCAAGAAGAGAUUAGGUUCACACGAAGGAGCAAAUGAGAUUAAGAGGCAUCCAUUCUUCAAGGGUGUUAAUUGGGCAUUAGUUCGCUGUCU